rnacentral:rRNA from 1 species
UACGGGGGGGGCAAGCGUUGUUCGGAAUUACUGGGCGUAAAGGGCUCGUAGGCGGCCAACUAAGUCGGACGUGAAAUCCCUCAGCUUAACUGGGGAACUGCGUCUGAUACUGGAUGGCUUGGAUUCGGGAGAGGAAUGCGGAAUUCCGGGUGUAGCGGUGAAAUGCGUAGAUAUCUGGAGGAACACCGGUGGCGAAGGCGGCAUUCUGGACCGAUAUUGACGCUGAGGAGCGAAAGCCAGGGGAGCAAACGGG